rnacentral:rRNA from 1 species
GCUAAGCAGGUUUGGGCCUGGUUAGUACUUGGAUGGGAGACCGCCUGGGAAUACCAGGUGCUGUAAGCUU